rnacentral:rRNA from 1 species
CCUACGGGUGGCAGCAGUGGGGAAUAUUGGGCAAUGGGGGAAACCCUGACCCAGCGACGCCGCGUGAAGGAAGACGGCCUUCGGGUUGUAAACUUCUGUUCUUGGUGAAGAGGGAAAGACGGUAACCAAGGAGGAAGCCCCGGCUAACUACGUGCCAGCAGCCGCGGUAAUACGUAGGGGGCGAGCGUUGUCCGGAAUGAUUGGGCGUAAAGGGCGCGUAGGCGGCUACGGAAGUCUGGAGUGGAAGUCCUAUUUUCAAGGUAGGAAUUGCUUUGGAAACUCCGCAGCUUGAGUGCAGGAGAGGUUAUCGGAAUUCCCGGUGUAGCGGUGAAAUGCAUAGAGAUCGGGAGGAACACCAGUGGCGAAGGCGGGUAACUGGACUGCAACUGACGCUGAGGCGCGAAAGUGUGGGGAGCAAACAGGAUUAGAUACCCCUGUAGUC